rnacentral:rRNA from 1 species
CCAAUAGCGUAUAUUAAAGUUGUUGCAGUUAAAAAGCUCGUAGUUGAAUUUCGGGAUCAAUAUGUCGGUCGUGCCUCGGUACGCACUGGCAUCGUUGGUUUCUCCCUUCUGAAGAACCAUGAUGUCAUUCAUUUGGUGUCGUGGGGAAUCAGGACUGUUACUUUGAAAAAAUUAGAGUGUUUAAAGCAGGCUCACGCUUGAAUACAUUAGCAUGGAAUAAUGAAAUAGGACGUUUGAUUCUAUUUUGUUGGUUUCUAGGAUCGACGUAAUGAUUAAUAGGGAUAGUUGGGGGCAUUAGUAUUCAAUUGUCAGAGGUGAAAUUCUUGGAUUUAUUGAAGACUAACUACUGCGAAAGCAUUUGCCAAGGAUGUUUUCAUUAAUCAAGAACGAAAGUUAGGGGAUCGAAGACGAUCAGAUACCGUCGUAGUCUUAACCAUAAACUAUGCCGACUAGGGAUCGGAUGAUGUUAAUUUUUUAAUGACUCAUUCGGCGCCUUACG